ACCCGGGUGGCUCAGUGGGUUGAGCGUCUGACUUGGGCUCAGGUCAAGAUCUUGCAGUUUGUGGGUUCAGGUCCUACAUCAGGCU
rnacentral:tRNA from 1 species